rnacentral:rRNA from 1 species
AUUGAACGCUAGCGGGAUGCUUUACACAUGCAAGUCGAACGAGUGGCGGACGGGUGAGUAAUAUCUGGGAACGUGCCCAGUAGCGGGGGAUAACUACUGGAAAGGGUGGCUAAUACCGCAUACUAUCGGAUCGGCCGAUAAGGGAUUAACUAGGUGGUGGGGUAAAGGCUCACCCAGGCAACGAUCAGGAGCUGGUUGAAGAGGACGACCAGCCAGACUGGGACUGAGACACGGCCCAGACACCUACGGGGAGCAGCAGUGGGGAAUUUUGGACAAUGGGGGAAACCCUGAGCCAGCCAUCCCGCGUGUAUGAGAAGGCCUUCGGGUUGUAAAGUACUUUUGGCAGAGAAGCGGUAUCUGCAGAAUAAGCACCGGCUAACUACGUGCCAGCAGCCGCGGUAAUAC